CUCCAGCAGCUAAUAUCGGUAGGCAGAAGGGGUGGAUUGAAAAGUAACCCAGCAAAGCGUAAUAAUUGCACAAAAAAUGACCUCCAAUGUAUAUUUGUAUAUCGGUCGUUGAUUUUUUCAUUUAAUAAAUCAAAAACAGAUUUAUUUUUGUUUCAUACAAAACACCCCACAAACCACACACCCACAUAAGAUGCGUUGCAAAACAAGAAGAACGUUGAUGAAUGGGACAAAUCAUCGAGAGCCAGUCGUGCUUGUGCCAGUUCGUGCACGUAGCCAGAAAAGAGACAACCCAGGCGAGCCGGAGAAGACACGCGGGUCUACGUGACGUAGGGGAGUGCGUCCAAAAACGGAAGGCCGACAAACCGGGCCGAGCCGAAAACAUAGCGAGCAGCAUAACCGCGGCAGCCCCGCACCCCGCCGCUCGCUGCUCUUUGUCCUUUUACUCGCACGGUGGGAGAAAAAAAAGGUCGACCGCGAUUGUGUGUAAAAGCGAGACCGAGCAUCACAUCGCACCGGUUUAUCAAGAAACCGCGCCCGCUGAAACGGAGCAUGCUGCGAACUGCUCACUCGAAGGCGCGAGAGCGAGAUAGCCACAGUACGCGCAGUUAUUAGUGGUGUUUUGUUUUGAUCCGUACGCACGGCGGCCAGACUGCUGCGUGCUCGCUAUGCUGUAGCAUAUAAACACACACACACACACACACACGCACACAUUUACGAGUCGAGUUGAGUUGAUUGCAAUCGCACCCCGAAAACGAUGGCACUUUCUUUCGUAACACAGUUUCCACCACUAAAAAAAAAGCGAAGAAAACCAACAACAAGUGAAACAGUGAUCGCUUUUUGGCCGUGGCGCUUUUAGGGGUGGCCCGUGCGGGCGCUACCAGCGGCCAUUGACUUUUAGUGUGACCCACGUAUUGCACGUUAAUUUUCAAGGAUCGCGAUCUUUACCCACCACUCGCUGACCCUCACUUGCUGUCCACACGAUCGUCCAUAAUUUUGCAAACACAUGCCGAUUCUUCACGCCUCCGCAACGCAACGACGCGCAUCGCGAAUGCAGCGGACCCCGAGAUGCAGCCAAGUUUCACCGGCCUAUGAGGUGCGUGCAUGUGCCUGCCCGAUAGACGACCAAACAACAACAAUAGCAAUAGCAACAGCAAAGCACUUGGAGCUUGAGCGUUGAGCGUUUUAAAAGCGAAACUUUACGAUGGUUCAGCAGGCAUCGAGGCAAUGAGCAGAGGGAAUAUGGUUUUACAUAUAAUUUAAUGCCCUUUUAGCUGUGGCUGGUUUUACUACCGUUUCGAACAUCUUUACAACCGAGCCCGGGCUUAGACACGCGGCAGGACUAGCGGCAAGGGAAGGCAUAUGUGUCGAUUUGUAGGGAUUUAUCUUACCGCUGGAUAGUUCUCUGGAUGGCCGAAGGGACAACCUUCAAGAUUAUUCUCCGACCAACGCGCAGCAAGUGGCGAGAAGAGGCUCGCUUAAAUAUCAUCCAGUACCAGCUUCGCGUCCUGUAUGCAAUCGAAUGCGAGAUUGUGGAUCGUAAAAUUCAACUGACCAUCGGAACUAAUUGACUCAGAUUGUCGACCAUAAUGCCCAGGCCAACGGUAUGCUUUGGGGUAGAGUUCGUGUCAUUAUCAUUUGGGUAGGAGAUGGGUGAUGUUUGAGAGCCGAAACAGAGAUGCCGAAUACUCACUCUGUUCAAUUCUCAGGGCAAAAGAGACGAUAUGGAGAAUUGAAUCUUUAAGUCGCUCUUUAUCAAAUCCAUUAGCAAAUCAUGCACUACAAAUAGCCUCAUUCUCUGUGACACUUUCUGGAUUCUUUUCCCUGAAUAAAUGUAAAAAGCGAAUCUCAAACAAU